UAAACAAUGAGUCUUCGCCAAAUAGACUCAGAGGAAUCCCAAACGUACAGUAGCCUAAAGAUCACAUCUUGUCAAUGUUCUCACGAAUCCACGGCUAAUGCUUCCAACAAAACAUCUCUUUCUCACUCAAAAUAUCAUCUUUCUUUCCCAUCACACUUACCAGAUUCUUGUUGGGUUCGCUGAAAUCAACCUCAAUAUGGAUGAACCCUUCGCGUCUUUCUUGAUUUACUUUAAAUCUUCGGAGAGCUGCUCAUGGGUCUCGAUCAUACAAAAGGGUUUCUCUCUCACCGCCCAGUCCGUUGUAUUCCUCGAAGUCGAACCCUAGAACCAGAGGGCAGGGAGAAUGCUUGCAGCUGUCGUGCCGUCGGUCGGACGAAGCCAGCAAUGGGCUCGUACUUUACGAGUACGCCCCUAACAAGAUGGAUAUCCACGAAUAUGCCCUCUUGUGUUUGCAUGUGUUCUAACAGCCCGCGAAAUUUGUCGCGUCUGCGUGUAAUUUCCGGCGCGACUUCAGAUACGACACCUCGACGUAAUCUCAGCCGCCGCCUUCUCCGCAUAACCACUUCGAUUCUUUGCUCUCUCUUCUAAUCGGGGAAAUAAGAACCAAACAAAAGUUCGGCUUUUGGAACGGAGGGGAGGAGACCAGUUGAAGCUUCAUUUUGAAUUCGUGGAAGCCCUCGCCAAUUGAUCAAUUCUUCGAAACAAUUUUGUGAUCAUCCUUCAGUGAAUAUGAAAGGGCAAGGCAGCUAUAUUCCACCUCCAUAUAUUCCUCUACAUCAGUAGGAUGCUGAAGUUGACAGUAACCCUGUGAAUGCAAGUUCCUCUUCUCACCUAUCUGUAACACAGGACAUGACAUAAUGGUCUUCUGGAAUCUGUGUUUGCUUCGAUGAUUUGCAGAGCUGUAUGCUACUUUCUGCCAUCUGACUUAAUUUUCAGAAGAAAAAGAAUUCAAGGUGCAAUUUUUUCAUUUAAUGCAACAUAAUAGUAUUCCUAGAGCUCUUGAAAAGAAAUUGUUUGAGAAGAUAGGGAUUCUAGACUCAGCUCAAAUUAAUUACCACUAUGCUGUAUUGCUAGUUAUGCAAGCAGUUGGGUCUUUCUUUAUUGUCUAUGUGCAUGCAGGAGUAAGGCUUGUCUACGACACUUCACGAAAACAUAAUUUCUGGAAGGUAUCAAUCCAUGCUACUUCACCUCUACAAAUUUUGGUUAUUUCCGUGCACCAUUAUCAUAUAUAGAUGAUAUGGCCAAAUUGUACCUUAAUAAAUUUAAAUAUUCUAAAUAAAAAAUGACUAAAGUUUAAACAAUAUUUGAUUUUCAAGCAAUCAUAUGAACAAAAUAAAAAUUUAAAACUGUAGCAUUCUCAAUUUUAUUUAAGCACAUUGAGUGACCUUUUCAUUUGAAAGGCUUUAGAUUUUAGAUAAAUUGUUUGUAAACCACAUUUGCUAUUCCAUAGAAAAUAUUCCUGGAAUGAGUCCUCUGAAAAUUAGGAAAACUUUAUUGUAUGUCUUCACUUACUUAUUAUGAUAAUAAGCAUGUCAUCAAGCUUUCAUACUAUUUUCCGUAGAAAAAUAGUUUUAUUUUGUCAUUUAUAAGUACUGGAAAACAAAAUUGGUUUGCUUUCCAUCCUAUGAGAACAUAUAUCAUGUUUCAUUAUGUAUGUUUGUUUAUACAACCUACAUUAGCUAUAAUAUUAUUUGAUUCUUUACCAUUAUCGGAAGAUUCUUUUUGCAUUUGAUAAGAGCUGCUUAUUCACAAGUAGCCAAAAAGUUGUUUCAGUUAUUUAUCUUUUGAUUCUUUUAGGUUGUAUUGGUGUUGUAUGUCCAUGCUUCCUGUAUGGGAAAAAUGCAGAAUUCCUGGGAUCUGGAACACUGGCAGGGUCAUGCAUAACCCAUUUUAUUUUGUGGGGUCUUGUCAAUAGUCUCUGCUGUCUGUUCACCAGAGGUCUACUUGCGGGAGUACCAGGAUCAAUGGUUGCUUGUUAUGCAUGUGGAUACCGCAAGUCACUACAGACAAAGUAUAAUCUGCAGGUGUGCCAGUGCCUUGAAAACAUUUGUGGAAUAAGUUUGUAUAUUUACUCCAUUGAGUAUACCAAAAAGUUACAUGAAAUACUUUCUCUAUCUCUUCACAACCCCAUUCCAGUAGCAAAUCUCAGUGCAAGUGGUGUGGCCCAAGUUGUUUUGUCUGAGUGACUUUUGACUCAGGGUUUGCUUAAUUUUUCUAGUGAUCCUACUACUUAACAAAGCAACAACAAAAAAGUUGCUAUAGAAAUGAUUUUUUAAUCAAUUCAUAUCUUCCUUUGUGAUUUCAUAAGGCUGUCCUUGUACUUCUUGGUCCAGAAUGGAUAUAGUCUAUAACACCAAUACAUGGUUUUUAUAAUAUGCUCUGAUGCAGAUUUUUUUGGCAUGAAUGUGUCACUGAAUCAUUAUGAGGUUAUUGUUUGGCUUAAUUUUUUCAUGAAAAUUUGACAGUUGAACAGAUUUUAAGAGUUUCAUUGCAUUUUUCUGAUAUUUGGUUGUAUAGAAAUGAAAUCUAGAGUGUUGUUGCAAACAAUGAACUAAUACUAUUGAGAUGACCUAUUUUGCCCCUUUCUAUUUUAAUUAUACUUGAUACUCCUUCUAAAGUGUUGAGAUGACUAUUCUCCAAUAUAGUCUAAUUUCUAAUUUGAUUUUCUUUCCGGGAAGCACUGUGUGGUGACUUGGCCACAUAUUUGUUCUGCCACUUGUGUGCCAUUUGUCAAGAGUGCAGAGAGAUUUAUGAGAGAUCCAAUGGCUUCAGUCCUACUCUGGCAUUCUCUGAGGUUGCCUCUCCCCCAAUCCAGACAAUGGACUUAGCUCCACAUGAAUAAUGGAAGUUGAAGAACGUUUAUAUUGCUUGCUCACACUGCUCCUUGCGCUUCCUUGAGAAUGGCUUGUAGCUUUGGAAAAACUAAAGCUGUUGAAACAUCGAGGACAAGGAUAUUGCAAUUCUUCCAACUUCAAGUCGUGCAAGAGGCUUUGUAGUUUUGCCAUAUUGAAACGAGGAGUAAAAUAUCUUUUAGAUUUUUACAUCUGCUUAAUUGAUUGUACUACGAUGUUCAUGUAUGCUUGUGGAGUAAAAUAUUUCUGCUUCAGCUGAGGUUCAGAUUUAAACUGCACUUAGCGUUGAUCAUGUGACAUACCAAAUGGCUGGCAUUUGAAGUCAUGUUGUGAGGCCACCACAUGCUCAGAUAAGGCAAUCACAGUUUACUGACAAUCUCCGGUAUCCACACAUCAAAAGUAGUAAGUAAUAUUAACAGACCAAUCUCAGCGAUCUUCUUCAAUCUGUAUAAAACCAUAACAAGGAUCAACAUCUCUUUUAUA